rnacentral:rRNA from 1 species
GACGAACGCUGGCGGCGUGCUUAACACAUGCAAGUCGAACGAAGUGGCGAACGGGUGAGUAACGCGUAAUCAACCUGCCCUUCAGAGGGGGACAACAGUUGGAAACGACUGCUAAUACCGCAUACUGAAGGCCGGGAUUGCGUCUGAGUAGCUAGUUGGAGGGGUAACGGCCCACCAAGGCGAAGAUCAGUAGCCUGGCUGGGAGGAUGACCGGCACAAUGGGGACUGGGAACGGGCCAGACUCCUACGGGGAGCAGGAAUGGGGGAACUUCCGCAAAGGACGAAAAUCUGACGGAAGAACGCCGGGGGGGAGGUAGCAGCCUUCGGGUUGUAAAACUAUGUUAAGCGGGGCGCGGUACCGGAAGAGAAAGCCACGGCUAACUACGUGCCAGCAGCCGUGGUAAUUC